AAAGGAAUUGACGGGGACUUGCACAAGCAGUGGAUUAUGUGGUUUAAUUCGAUGGUAACCGAAGAACCUCACCAGGGUUUGAAACCUAAGUGAAAUCUCCCAGAAACGGGAGCCCUCGCAAGACUCUUAGGCAGGUGCUGCAUGGCCGUCGUCAGCUCGUGGUUUGAACUGUUCCCUUAAGUGGGGUAACGAGCGCAACCCUCGUCGUGUGUUACAAGUGUCACACGAGACUGCCCCCUACCGGGGGAGGAAGGAGAGGAUGACGCCAGGUCAGCAUGGCCCUCUGAUACCCUGGGCUACACACAUAAUACAAUCGCUACUACAGAAGGCUGCGAUGGGGUAACCCUGAGCGAAUCCCUAAAGGUAGCGCCAGUUCGGAUUGAGGUCUGCAACUCGACCUCAUGAAGCCGGAAUUGCUAGUAAUCGCGGGUCAGCAAACCGCGGUGAAUACGUUCUCAAGUCUUGUACACACCGCCCGU
rnacentral:rRNA from 1 species